AGAGAUCUUUGGCAAGAUAGCAUACUGUAUGUGUAAAACAGCAGUUCUCAAAGUGUGCCUGGAGCAGCAUCAGCAACAUCACUUGGGAAAUGAGAAAAAUGCAGAUUCUCUGAUCCCACCUCUGACCUACAGAAUCAAAAACUCUAGAAAUGGGCCUCUGUAAGCUGUGUUUCAACCAGCCCUCCAGCCCUUCAGUCUAACAGCAGGAUUUGAAAUAUGAAGUGACUGCUCACCAAACAAAAACCUCCUAAGGAAAGCUGCCCAGGAUGAAGAACUUUCCAGCUAUUGCUCUCAUUUCAUUCCUGCUCAUCUCAGAAUCAGUUCUAAAAACUGUGCAACCGUCUAUAUUCAUUUAACUUGAGGAGAAGCUAAAGCCACACUUUUCUGCUGUCCUGUGUAGAGGGAAAAAAGUUAAGAUGCACAAUUUCAUGGCUCUCUCUCCACACUCGUGCAGGGUCGGUGGGUCUGAGUGCCACCCAAGAGUUUCAGUUACCUGUGCUCAACCAUGGUCCAAAAGCAGAUGAUCCUCUGAUUCUGAUGCUACGUCAGAAGGUCAAUAGCAGCCUAACGCUAUGCCUCAAUGCCAAUGUCAUUCACCUCACUUCAUCUCAUCACACUGGGAUUUUAUCAUCUCAUGUCAUUACAAGAGCAGGACUACAAAGCUGAGCACAGAACUAUGACUAUUCAAACACGUUGAAGAUACAACAGAGAAUGAAUAGCAAUGAAAGACAGUCUUGACUUGCUGCCAAGAAAGAGAAGAGAUGAUGAACGGCCGAUUUGAGACAACUACCACUCAAAGGAUUUAUAAGAAGGAAAUGUUCUACAUUACUCAAGAAGAACAGAACAUGAGUUCAUUACACCCAUUGCAUCUUUUAGAUAGGGCUAAACUCUCAGAUUUUGAAUGCUGUCUUUGAUAAGCAUAGCUAGCUGUACUGUUGUCAUAGCUCAAGACUCAAGUACUGAUUUAUGCCUUGACCCUAAGUAACAUUCUGAAAAUGCUACUAAAUUUGAGAUCCUGAUUUGGAAGUCAAGAAUUGUAUGAUGUAACAUAAUUUUGAAGUCUAAAUACCAGUUAUUCUUGAAAACAAAACAAAACAAAAACACAGCUCCAAAGGCUGGCAAUUAAUCGUCAACAUCAACAUGUGUUUAUUAAGCCCUGCUUUGAGAGCUAUAAAAUAUAUAUUAGAACGUCUCUAUUUUAAGAAGCUCACAAACUUUCUGUAAUAAAGGUAAAGUUUAUUCUCUUCACGAACAGGGCUCCUUGCUAGUAUAUAUGCAUUGUUUAAAGCACAUUCUUCUAGGUUAUUUCAUUCUAUGGGGACUCUGAGUCUUUCAUUGCCUUUGAACUAUUUUACAACACUGUAAAUUGUAGAUAACCGAUAGCAGUACAAAAGAAUUCUCCUCUAUAGAUAUGCAAAUAAAUUCUGUCCAGCGGAAGUUCAAAG
rnacentral:lncRNA from 1 species